AACGAACGCUGGCGGCAUGCCUAACACAUGCAAGUCGAGCGGAAGCUUCGGGUCUGCUCGUGCACUGAUCGGUGACCCGGGGGGACCUGCCCUUAAGUCUGGCAGGACGCCCCGGAUGGGGUGCUAAUACCGGCUAAUAUCUUGCGACCAAAGAUUUAUCGCCUUUGGAGGGGCCCCGGUUGUAUUAGCUUGUUGGUAGCGUAAAAGCCUACCAAGGCGACGAGCCAUAGCUGGUUUGAGAGGAUGAUCAGCGACACUGGGACUGAGACACGGCCCAGACUACUACGGGAGGCAGCAGUGGGGAAUAUUGGACAAUGGGCGAAAGCAUGAUCCAGCUAUGCCGCGUGAGUGAUGAAGGCCUUAGGGUUGUAAAGCUCUUUUACCCGGGACGAUAAUGACAGUACCGGGAGAAUAAGCUCCGGCUAACUCCGUG
rnacentral:rRNA from 1 species